CCUGCGGAAGGAUCAUUUCUGAAGGCUUUUUGCCAAAACCACUGUGAACAGCUUAGACUUCGGUCUUUGCAAUUGCUUGGGUGUCGAAAGGCGCCCAAUCUUUAAAACUUUUAUAUUUGUUCUGAAACAAUGAAAAUUUAAAACUUUCAACAACGGAUCUCUUGGUUCUCGUAUCGAUGAAGAACGCAGCAAAGCGCGAUAGGUAAUGCGAAUUGCAGACGUGAGUCAUUGAAUUUUUGAACGCAUAUUGCGCUAUUAGUUUGUCUAAUAGCAUGCUUGUUGGAGUGAUAAUCUUCCUCUCAACCAUUUUUGGUAUGAGGUCUUGCUCCUUUUAGGAGUUAAAAUCAUGGAAGUGCACACGUUAAUUAACUCUGUGCAGUUAUACACUUUUCAUCCUCCAAUCAAGCAAGGUUACCCGCUGAACUUAAGCAUAUCAAUAAGGCGGAGGA
rnacentral:rRNA from 1 species